GAAUGACCGUGUUUUGAAAUUGAAAUUAAAAGAUCUUAUUCUCGACUGUGUUCAUAAUUUGGAAAUUGUGAAUCAACUAAUUUCUGCUAGAAUUUUAAACGUAGAAGAUUGGGAAUGGCAAAAACAACUACGUGCUUACAUUGAUAAGAGCGGGACAGUGAGCUUCAAAAUGGUUGAUUCCACCACAAACUAUUCUUACGAAUACCAGGGAAAUGCUCCCAAACUUGUACAUACUCCACUUACUGAUAAAUGUUUUCUGACACUCACACAAGCCAUGGUUACGGGGCUUGGGGGUAAUCCGUACGGUCCGGCUGGAACUGGUAAGACAGAAUCUGUGAAGGCUCUCGGUGCUAUUUUUGGAAGGCAAGUUUUGGUUUUUAACUGCGACGAAG